rnacentral:misc_RNA from 1 species
UGGCUCUCGCAUCGAUGAAGAACGCAGCGAAAUGCGAUAAGUAAUGUGAAUUGCAGAAUUCAGUGAAUCAUCGAAUCUUUGAACGCACCUUGCGCCCUUUGGUAUUCCGAAGGGCAUGCCUGUUCGAGUGUCUUGAAUUCAUCGCGCCCCGGAUUCGUUUCCGGGAACGCGGACGUGGGGGCAUUUGCCGCGGAGACGCGGCUCCCCUCAAAUGCAUCGGUGGGGUCUCCGGACAUCCCGGGCGUUGUACAUCCCUCGUCCGACAAGGGUUCCGGUUCAUCAGACCCCGCUUCGACCGUCGGCGCGAGCCGCGGCCAGCUAACUUUGAAAUCUGACCUCGAAUCAGGUAGGACUACCCGCUGA